AGAGUUUGAUCAUGGCUCAGGAUGAACGCUAGCGGCAGGCUUAACACAUGCAAGUCGAGGGGCAGCAUAAUGGAUAGCAAUAUCUAUGGUGGCGACCGGCGCACGGGUGCGUAACGCGUAUGCAACCUACCUUUAACAGGGGGAUAACACUGAGAAAUUGGUACUAAUACCCCAUAAUAUCAUAGAAGGCAUCUUUUAUGGUUGAAAAUUCCGAUGGUUAGAGAUGGGCAUGCGUUGUAUUAGCUAGUUGGUGGGGUAACGGCUCACCAAGGCGACGAUACAUAGGGGGACUGAGAGGUUAACCCCCCACACUGGUACUGAGACACGGACCAGACUCCUACGGGAGGCAGCAGUGAGGAAUAUUGGUCAAUGGACGCAAGUCUGAACCAGCCAUGCCGCGUGCAGGAUGACGGCUCUAUGAGUUGUAAACUGCUUUUGUACGAGGGUAAACGCAGAUACGUGUAUCUGUCUGAAAGUAUCGUACGAAUAAGGAUCGGCUAACUCCGUGCCAGCAGCCGCGGUAA
rnacentral:rRNA from 1 species